UGCCUUAGUAACGGCGAGUGAAGCGGCAACAGCUCAAAUUUGAAAGCUGGCCCCUUCGGGGUCCGCGUUGUAAUUUGUAGAGGAUGAUUCGGCGAGGGCUCCCGUCUAAGUCCCUUGGAACAGGGCGUCAUAGAGGGUGAGAAUCCCGUAUGUGAUGGGCUGCCUUAGCCAUGUGAAUCUCCUUCGACGAGUCGAGUUGUUUGGGAAUGCAGCUCUAAAUGGGAGGUAAAUUUCUUCUAAAGCUAAAUACCGGCCAGAGACCGAUAGCGCACAAGUAGAGUGAUCGAAAGAUGAAAAGCACUUUGGAAAGAGAGUUAAAAAGUACGUGAAAUUGUUGAAAGGGAAGCGCUUGCAGCCAGACUUGUCCGCAGUUGCUCAGCUUGUCUCCUGACAGGCGUACUCUUCUGCGGCCAGGCCAGCAUCAGUUCGGGCGGUCGGAUAAAGACCUAGGGAAUGUAGCUCCUCUCGGGGAGUGUUAUAGCCCUGGGUGCAAUGCGGCCAGCCUGGACUGAGGAUCUCGCUUCGGCUAGGAUGCUGGCGUAAUGGCUGUAAGCGGCCCGUCUUGAAACACGGACCAAGGAGUCUAACAUCUAUGCGAGUGUUUGGGUGUCAAACCCAUGCGCGUAAUGAAAGUGAACGGAGGUGGGAACCCUCACGGGUGCACCAUCGACCGAUCCUGAUGUCUUCGGAUGGAUUUGAGUAAGAGCAUAGCUGUUGGGACCCGAAAGAUGGUGAACUAUGCCUGAAUAGGGUGAAGCCAGAGGAAACUCUGGUGGAGGCUCGCAGCGGUUCUGACGUGCAAAUCGAUCGUCAAAUUUGGGUAUAGGGGCGAAAGACUAAUCGAACCAUCUAG
rnacentral:rRNA from 1 species